AGGGCACCACCAGGAGUGGAGCCUGCGGCUUAAUUUGACUCAACACGGGGAAACUCACCCGGCCCGGACACCGUAAGGAUUGACAGAUUGAUAGCUUUUUCAUGAUUCGGUGGAUGGUGGUGCAUGGCCGUUCUUAGUUCGUGGAGCGAUUUGUCUGGUUUAUUCCGAUAACGAGCGAGACUCUAGCCUACUAAAUAGUUCGCACAUUGUCUCUGUGUGUGUGACUUCUUAGAGGGAUUUUCGGUGUUCAGCCGCACGAAAUUGAGCAAUAAUUUGUCUGUGAUGCCCUUAGAUGUCCGGGGCUGCACGCGCGCUACACUGGCAAAAUCAGCGUGCUUGUCCUUCCCCGAAAGGGGUUGGUAAACCCUUGAAAAUUUGCCGUGAUUGGGAUUGGAAAUUGCAAUUAUUUUCCAUGAACGAGGAAUUCCAAGUAAGUGCGAGUCAUCAGCUCGCGUUGAUUACGUCCCUGCCCUUUGUACACACCGCCCGUCGCUGCCCGGGACUGAGCCAUUUCGAGAA
rnacentral:rRNA from 1 species